GAUGAACGCUGGCGGCGGGCCUAAUACAUGCAAGUCGAGCGAACAGACGAUGAGCUUUCUCCUCUGACGUUAGCGGCUGACGGGUGAGUAACACGUGGAUAACCUACCUAUAAGACUUGGAUAACUUCGUGAAACCGGAUCUAAUACCGGAUAAUAUAUUGAACCGCAUGGUUCAAUAGUGAAAGACGGUUUUGCUGUCACUUAUAGAUGGAUCCGCGCCGCAUUAGCUAGUUGGUAAGGUAACGGCUUACCAAGGCGACGAUGCGUAGCCGACCUGAGAGGGUGAUCGGCCACACUGGAACUGAGACACGGUCCAGACUCCUACGGGAGGCAGCAGUAGGGAAUAUUCCGCAAUGGGCGAAAGCCUGAUGGAGCCACGCCGCGUGAGUGAUGAAGGUCUUCGGAUCGUAAAACUCUGUUAUUAGGGAAGAACAAAUGUGUAAGUAACUAUGCACGUCUUGACGGUACCUAAUCAGAAAGCAACGGCUAACUACGUG
rnacentral:rRNA from 1 species